rnacentral:misc_RNA from 1 species
ACCAACAUGGCGGCGCCUACGAAUUUCGACAGUAUAAUUACGAAGUUAAAUAAUUAUAGCUCUUGUCUUGAAGAGAGUGUGCAAAGUGAUACACUAUUAGAGUUAAAAACCGAGCUAUCAUUAAUACCUCCAUCUUCCUUACGUAUUAUAGUGCCAAAAUUGAACAUUGAAGCUAUUUUUGAUUGCUUAAAUGCAAGUACGAGUGAACAAAUCGAACUGACAUGUGAUCUGCUAGAGAGGUUGCUACAAGUACUACCUCCUAUUUUGAUGUUACAACGUUUCGAUGAUCAUUUGCUGCGGGCAUUGUCUCAUCCCAGUGCUGAUGUGAGACAAAUGUUAUUAGUACAGAUAGCCCACUGUCUUUCUGAUGGCUCUGCAGUCCAGGAGCUCACCAGAAGGAUAGAUAUCCUCACAAAAACUGUACAGCUGCUGGCAGAUGAUGAUGUCAACGUGACUGCCCUCUCAAAACAGGCAUUGCUGAAACUAGCAGAGAGUCAAAAUGGCAGAAACAUACUGUUCUCUACUAAUACUUUUCCCCACAUGCAGGCCGUUAUGAAGGCCAGUGACACGGCAAAGUUCCGUGUUUACGAGGUGAUUGUGAGAGUAGCUUCAUUUAGUGCUGAUGGGCUGGUACAGGCAGCACAGACAGGCGCCCUAGCACAGCUCAUCGGAGAGAUUGAGAAUGGGGACGUCCUACUACAGCUGAAUGCCCUCGACCUUCUCUCAGAUCUUGCACUCACCGAGUAUGGUCUAUCCUUCCUUGAGCAGCAGGGUGUGUUGAAGACCCUGGCUCACAUGUUAGACAGCAUAGAUGCCAAUCUGCUGUCAACAUAUCUCCUGCCAGGUCUGAUCAAAUUCUUUGGUAAUGUCGCUCAUCAUAACCCAAAGGAGAUUUGCAGCCGGCACCAAGUAUUUGUCAAUGUGCUGUUCACGAACUUAGAAUCCUGCAAUCUCACAAUCCAGGGCAUAGCUGUGGACACAUUAGGAGUCAUAGGUUCUACCGCCGAGGGCAAGUUGUCAUUAGAUAAACAAGGCCAGCUGAUUGAUCGAGCACUGAAAAUAUUAGGCACGAUUAUUAAGGAUUCGCCAUCUAACAUGCGGCUCCGUGCAAUCCACUCUGUUUGCACCCUACUGACCCUCCAGCCAUGGGGCCAAAAGGCAAUCUACAACGAAGCUGGUUUACUAGAAUACAUACUUGAUCGCCACACGGAGACCAGAAAGGAAGGAAGAGAUGCAAAAUUCGAGGUGGUGAAAACGUUGGUUGAAUCGCCCACCGCCCAAGACAUAUUUGGCAGGCCAGAUUUCAUGCGCCUCAGAGGUUUCUAUGCCGACGGAGUUUACUAUGUGAAAGCACAACAUGCUGUUGCCAUGGAAGGAGGUGGGCCCUAACCUGGUCCCUGUGUACCUGAUCCUACUAAAUAUUUUGCGCCAUGUCAAUGUAAAAAUCAAUGAAAAUUAAUUUAGUGUUUAGCAGCCAUUGACUUGCGUUGGAAAUCACUCUCAACAGUAAGUGGUGAGGAUUGUUUUGCCCGGUGAAGCAAUAGCAAAGAGUGAGUUUUCAUCGGUAGUCUUCAUUGGCAAGUGUAAACGUUUUUAUCGAUUUGCAUCUGAUAAAGUUCGUUAUCACCUUGCGUGUCGGUGGUGUUUAUUUGACAUGCAUUAUUCACAAACACUUGUGGCACUUGUAAAUGUUAAGCUGUCUUCAUUGAAGAGCAAUAUCACGUUCUGAAUGCUGGUGGUAAGUGGUCUCAAAUGCCACAACACAGCAGAGUAGCGAGAAUUGAAUGGAAACAUGUCGAAAACGAGUAGAAUAGAUCAAUAGCUACGUCUACACGACGAACCUUAACUCGAGUUAAGCUAACUCGAGUUAGCGGUUAUGUAGCGUCUACACG